GUCCUACGGGGGGCAGCAGUGGGGGAUAUUGCACAAUGGGGGAAACCCUGAUGCAGCGACGCCGCGUGAGUGAAGAAGUAUUUCGGUACGUAAAGCUCUAUCAGCAGGGAAGAAAAAAAGUCCACAGGACUUUGGACGGUACCUGACUAAGAAGCCCCGGCUAACUACGUGCCAGCAGCCGCGGUAAUACGUAGGGGGCAAGCGUUAUCCGGAUUUACUGGGUGUAAAGGGAGCGUAGACGGCUGUGCAAGUCUGAAGUGAAAUGCCGGGGCCCAACCCCGGAACUGCUUUGGAAACUGUACAGC
rnacentral:rRNA from 1 species